GACGAACGCUGGCGGCGUGCUUAACACAUGCAAGUCGAACGGAAAGGCCCUGCUUUUGUGGGGUGCUCGAGUGGCGAACGGGUGAGUAACACGUGAGUAACCUGCCCUGGACUUUGGGAUAACUUCAGGAAACUGGGGCUAAUACCGGAUAGGAGCUCCUGCUGCAUGGUGGGGGUUGGAAAGUUUCGGCGGUUGGGGAUGGACUCGCGGCUUAUCAGCUUGUUGGUGGGGUAGUGGCUUACCAAGGCUUUGACGGGUAGCCGGCCUGAGAGGGUGACCGGCCACAUUGGGACUGAGAUACGGCCCAGACUCCUACGGGAGGCAGCAGUGGGGAAUAUUGCACAAUGGGCGGAAGCCUGAUGCAGCAACGCCGUGUGCGGGAUGACGGCCUUCGGGUUGUAAACCGCUUUCGCCUGUGACGAAGCGUGAGUGACGGUAAUGGGUAAAGAAGCACCGGCUAACUACGUG
rnacentral:rRNA from 1 species